AUUGAACGCUGGCGGCAGGCCUAACACAUGCAAGUCGAGCGGAUGAAGGGAGCUUGCUCCUGGAUUCAGCGGCGGACGGGUGAGUAAUGCCUAGGAAUCUGCCUAGUAGUGGGGGAUAACGUCCGGAAACGGGCGCUAAUACCGCAUACGUCCUGAGGGAGCAAGUGGGGGAUCUUCGGACCUCACGCUAUCAGAUGAGCCUAGGUCGGGUUAGCUAGUUGGUGGGGUAAAGGCCUACCAAGGCGACGAUCAGUAACUGGUCUGAGAGGAUGAUCAGUCACGCUCGAACUGAGACACGGUCCAGACUCCGACGGGAGGCAGCAGUGGGGAAUAUUGGACAAAGGGCGAAAGCCUGAUCCAGCCAUGCGGCGUGGGUGAAGAAGGUCUUCGGAUGGGAAAGCACUUGAAGUUGGGGGGAAGGGCAGUAAGUUAAUACCUUGAUGUUUUGACGGUACCAACAGAAUAAGCACCGGCUAACUUCGUG
rnacentral:rRNA from 1 species